rnacentral:misc_RNA from 1 species
CGCGAGUCGAGAAAAAAUGGAUUCUUGCGUGAGAGAAGAUGAAGACGAUGGUCAGUCAAUCAACAGAAUUGACAAGAUGCACUGUCUGCAACGAAGAUGCAGAGCCAUUGACAUGCGAAGCGUACCUAAAGUUUAUGGCAUUUCUUCCUCCAAAUUAUAAAUACUGCUUGUGUAAUUACACUGUACAAAACGGCAACAUCUCUUGUAUAUCACUAAGACUGCCUAUAUCAACUGAAGAAGGGGCACGAACUUGGUUCAGUCAGUUCCAAGAGAAGUCAUUGACAACCAUGAGAGUUGAUCGCACACAUCCACUAUCUGGUCGUAAAAAUGUCUUUAAGAUGCCAGCAUCUAACUCGGAGUAAGGCCACUGCUAAUGAAAAAUUUGCUACAAAAAAUACAAAUUGCAGGGCAUCUGCUUUAAUUACAGUAAAGAGAACUGUAAAAUAUUCACGAAGUACAGAUAGGCACGACAAAGAAUACGCAAUGGUUGUCAAGAUGAACUUUGAUCAUAAUCAUGUACUUGAAUCGGCUGAUGCUCUUCGUUAUCGGGAUGUUGCACACAGUACAGUCCAGAAAUUUAUCCAGCUCUUUAUUGCCUUCUGUCCUGCCUAAGAAAACACGAAGACCAGCUCCACAUAACAUGAAAGUGUGUGUUGCAAAAAACACUGGUUUAGGAAAGACACAUGGCAAGAAGUAAACUCUAUAAUGAUGAUCAAAUUUACAUCAAAACGCGUUAUAUUUUUU